rnacentral:lncRNA from 1 species
AUGGCAAGGGAGUGGCUCAAAUUCUUCACAUUGCCCCUGCUCUGCCUGCACCCCCACCCCCACCCCAGGCAAGCGGUUUCUACAGGAUUAUGUCAUUUUUGGUGGAAAGGAUCAAAGAAGUGGAAGGUGGAAAAUCAAUGGAAAGAGUGGAGAGCGCUGAUGCGAAAAGAGCAAGAGCCAGACAAGAAUACCGGGAGAGAGAAGAACAAAGCUUUUCCCUCUCUGCUUCUGGAAUGUAAAUAUUAUCUCAGUUUGAAGAUAGAAGAGGGGCAAAGAACAACAGAUGCUUUCAUUCAACAGUACUUACCAAGUGGCCACUUUGAAUUAGGCCCAUAUGAAUCCAGUCAAAGCACCAUCAGGGGCUGCCAAAACUAGAAGAUCCCAGAUGUCCUGGUGCAGGAGGUGAAUAUCUUCUCAACUGAAGACAUGGAAACAACUUAAAUGUCCAUCGACAGAUGCAUGGAUUAAGAAGAUAUGGUAUAUACACACAAUGGAAUAGUACUCAGCCAUAAAAGAGAACAAAAUAAUGACACUUGCAGCAACAUAUAUGGAACUAGAGACUCUCAUACUAAGUGAGGUAAGUCAGAAUGAGAAAGACAAAUACCAUAUGAUAUCACUUAUACAUGGAAUCUAAUAUAUGGUACAAAUGAACCUUUCUACAGGAAAAAAAACUCAUGGACAUAGAGAACAGACUUGUGGUUGCCAAGGAUGGGAGAAGGGAGUGGGAUAGACUGGGAAUCUGGGGUUAAUAGAUGUAAACUAUUGUCUUUGGAACAGAUAAGCAAUGAGAUCCUGCUGUAUAGCACUAGGAACUCUUACCUAGUCACUUAUGAUGGAUCAUGAUGGAGAAUAAUAUGAGAAAAAGAAUGUAUAUACGUGUGUAACUGGGUCACUUUGCUGUACAGUAGAAAAUUGACAGAACACUGUAAACCAGCUAUAAUGGAAAACAUAAAAAUCAUUAAAAAAAAAAAAAAAAAAAGAUCAGACAUGUCAAGAGCUAACCAGAGUACAGCCCAGCAGUGUUAAGUCCCCGGAACCUCUGCAAACCUCAUCUGAAUGCACUACUAAUUUCAUUUCUUACCCUAGUGGUCUCUUCAGCCUUUCUCAAACUUUGCCUUACACUCUUCCCUUUGCUGACAGUGCGUUUCUUCUCACUCAACUACUGAAGGGAAAAAAAUCCGCCUUUCAAGAUCGAAUCUAAAGGACACAUCUCCUCUGGUCCUCUCUUCCAGUUCCCUUGAUCCCAGUAAGCCCACUGUUGCUUACUCGUACCUUGCUGGUUACAAGGUACAGAUGCACCAUAAGUACAUAUUUGCCUGCGAUGCCCACUAGACUGUGAAACGCAGUAAUUCUUAAACCCUCAGCACUUAGCUUGGUGCCUGGCACAUGAUAGGUGGUUAAUAUAUAUACAUACAUAAACACGUAAGUUUUCUUCUCACUGCCACACCUGUGGCAAAUGGAAGUCCCCCUGUCAGCCGUGAAAUCUGGAGUUGCAGCUGCGGCCUAUGCCACAGCCACCUGGCAACACCUUAACCCACUGAGCAAGGACAGGAAUAGAACCCACAUCCUAAAAGAGACCACGGUAUGUCCUUAACCCACUGGGCCACAAUGGGAACUCCUAUCUAUGAUUUUUCUUAAUGCCUAGGUAGAAUGGAUGCACUCACGCUUGGAAGACUGGAUGCAGGAGUGUGCUUCGGAAUAAGCGAUGGGCUCACGAAAACUAUAUGGUCGUCCUAGCGAACCUUUCUCAGUCCCCCGCCCAGGGACAAGUGCUUAGGGAUGAUGGCCUCCCUCUGAGGUCCAGCGGGUGCCUACGCUUAGGCGCGCAGCUCCGCAGGGCACCAGCAGGGGGCGGCGUUGCCCCGCAGCUGGCUGCUCCGCGGGUGACUGUUC